GACGAACCACACGAACGUUAUUCGGAAUUACUGGGCUUAAAGGGUGCGUAGGCGGCGCAGAAAGUUGGGUGUGAAAUCCCUCGGCUCAACCGAGGAACUGCGCCCAAAACUACUGUGCUUGAGGAAGAUAGAGGUAAGCGGAACUUACGGUGGAGCGGUGAAAUGCGUUGAUAUCGUAAGGAACACCUGUGGCGAAAGCGG
rnacentral:rRNA from 1 species